UCACUCGGAACCAGGCUGACCCGAGAGC
rnacentral:piRNA from 1 species